rnacentral:lncRNA from 1 species
UAUAAUCUUCCUCUCCAUAUCAAAACAGUUUUUGUGCUUAUCUUGUUUGCUUUCCUUUCAUAUUUCAUUAACUUUUGAUUUUUCUCCAUUCUUUAACAAGUAAAUAGAAGAUAACAGUGAAGGUAUACUUCCAUGUUGACCAAACUGUGUGUAAUUUCUCAAUUGCUUUAAAUUUGCAAUGAUUGUAAUUUUUUUCUCAUUGUAAAUAAAUAUUCGCUUUUAUAUCUAAUUUUUCAUAAUUUUGUAUUAAAGAAGGACAUCCAAAUUGGAGAAGCUUCAGGCCUCAAAUACCUGGACCCAUUCCUGACUGGAUAUUGAGGAGAGUGUGAGUCUUCGAGUCUUGGCAAAGGAAGAAGCCAAGAGAACCUUUACUGUAUGGAAGGUGAACGUUCUUGGCUGUGAUGGAAGUAACUCGGCACCUACAUGCGGCUCAUUCUUUCCACCUCAUACACUGAAAAGACUUCCCAGGAAGAGCUGCCAAGACAUCCAAGGUCCGUGUGGCCUCCGUGAGCAACACUCAAGACACUUUGUGGAAGGCAUUCUUGGCCUUCAUGUAGCACUCUCAAAAGAUAAGAUAUAUUCUAUCCCUCUUCCCACCCUCACACCCCCUAUCCUCCAUUGCCAGUUUUCUUUAUUGACCUAUUAAAUAGUCACCAUCUGUCUAAAAGUGUCUUGAAGAUGUCCUUUUUGCAUUUUAUGCCUUGCUACUCAAAGUGUGGUCUGUGGACCAAAAGCAGCAUCAGUGUCACUGGGAACUUGUAAGAAAUUCAGUUCUUGGGCCUCACACCAGGGCUACUCAACCAGAAUCCACGUUUUAAUAAAAUUCUCAAGUGAUUUGUAUGCA